rnacentral:tRNA from 1 species
GCCUAGUUAGCUUAGUUGGUAGUGCGUCUGCCUUGUAAGCGCUAGGCCCGCGGGUUCGAUUCCCGCCCGGGGCG